UACGUAGGGUGCGAGCGUUAAUCGGAAUUACUGGGCGUAAAGAGUGCGCAGGCGGACCUGCAAGUCGGGGGUGAAAUCCUGGAGCUCAACUCCAGAACUGCCUUCGAUACUGGCGAUCUUGAGUCCGGAAGAGGUGAGUGGAACUCCUAGUGUAGAGGUGGAAUUCGUAGAUAUUAGGAAGAACACCAGUGGCGAAGGCGGCUCACUGGUCCGGUACUGACGCUGAGGUGCGAAAGCGUGGGGAGCAAACAGG
rnacentral:rRNA from 1 species